AUGGAGCCUUUGGACACCUGCCUUGUGUGCAGAGCGAGGGGAAGUCCCCAGGCGCCAGGUCCUUACCUGGAGGUGCACCUGGAGGCGGCCCCCCGGUUGGUGCUGGGCGGCCAGUCUCUCCCGCGCCUCCGCCCCAGCACCCGAAUGGGGGUCCGAAGUUCUCCCCGCCAGGUGCCUCCGGCACGCGGGCCGGGGGGGUCUUGGGCCUCGGAGAUCCAGGAGGCGGAAGCGUCCCGGCGGGGCAGGUGCGUGCAGGGCCCGAGCCUCCCUGCCCUCCCCCCGCCUCCCCGGCCAGGUGCGGGCCUUACCAGGUGCUCGGCGCCGAGACACUGCAUCCUGCGCCCGGCGGCGGGGGCCGCGCACUGGGAGCCCACGCACCGCCUGCGGCAGGCCAGCCCCGGGCCCCGCGGCCGAGCGGCGGGAAGGGGCGCAGCGCCGCCCCGCGGCCGCCUCCGAGCGCCACGGACUUCGCCCCGGGCGCCGUCCCCGGCGGGCCCCGGCUUCCGCGCGCACCCCUGCCGCGCGGUUCUCGGGCAGUCGGCGCAAGUCUCAACCGGCUCGGAACGAGAGGCACCUGCCCGUCCGCCAGCCUCAAAACAGCGCGCGGUGCCGCUCCCGGGAUACCUGGGUUCCCGCUGGUCCUGCCACGACCCCCGGGGCGCUCCUCGCUUCGGCCUUAUUAGGAGGCGGCCCCCGCAGGGAGCAGGAAGCAUAAAGUCUCUGCAAACCCUUCCAGAGGGCGGACGACGGUGGAGUGCUGAAUUAUACCCAUAUGGCCAACAGCUCAUUGGCCCCAUGAAGUCGGGGGCGCUGAUUGAGAAGCGUUAUGAUGAGGUCACUGCCAGCCGUGAAUGCGCUCUCUGCGUGCCAGGAACGACCGCAUCCUGUUCCACGUCCUGGAACUGCUGGGCUCAGGUGUGCAGCCCCGUGGCCAGGUGUCCAUCGUUAAAAUCCACUUUCCAGAGGCGCUCCCGUCCCGUGCAAGUGAGCCCCACUGCGUGCCCAGACCUGUGCUGGACAUCAGUGCAAAGGAAGCAGAACUACCGCCUGCCCGAGAGCCUUCUGUGUAGCUCGGGGGUGAAAGCACCCUGGCCGGUACCUCCGUGCCCCCCACCACAGCCUUCCUCCCACCCCUCAGGACGUCGGUGAGGCUUUUCCCAUCUAUUCCAUUUCCUUCCACAGCCGGGAACAUGGACAACUUCUUAACGUCCUCUCUGCGCUUCCCUGACAUCCUUCACGGACCUCCUGGUCUUUUUUUGAAAAGUUCACUGUUAAUCAUCACAGAAGCAAAUAAGAAUACCAGGCAUGGGGAAGUUACAAAGGCCCCCAAAUCUUUACCUUUUUUUUUUUUUUUUUUUCUCUCUCUCUUUUCAGGGCUGCACUUGCAGCAUAUGGAAGUUUCCAGGUGAGGAGAUGAAUCAGAGCUACAGCUGCUGGCCUACACCACAGCCACAGCAACGACAGAUCCGAGCUGUCUGCGACCUACAUCACAGCUCACGGCAACCCUGGAUCCUUAACCCACGGAGCAGGACCAGGGAUUGAACCUACGUCCUCUUGGAUACUAGUCAGGUUCAUUACUGCUGAGCCACAAGGGGAACUCCCAAUCUUUCACUUGAGCCACUGCUUAUGGAAAGUAAAUUUGGUGCAAUUUUCCUGGGCACUGUUGCCUUUAAAAGUUUGUGUACCACCAUAUGUAAAAAUAAACUCAAAAUGGAUAAAGACUUAAAUGCAAGACCUAAAACCAUAAACGCCUAGAAGAGAACAGAGGCAGUAAGCUCUUUGACGUCAGUCUCAGCAAUAUUUUUUUGGAUAUGUCUCCCCAGUCAAGGGAAAUAAAAAGCAAAUAUGAACAAACGGGACUGCAUCAAACUCAAAACGUUUGCACAGUGAAGGAAACUAUUAACAAACAAAAAGGCAGCCCACUGAAUGGGAGAAGGUAUUUGCAAAUGACACAUCUGAAAUGGGGUUGAUGUUCUAAUAUACAAAGAAUCAAGCAGCUCAAAAUCAAAAAACUAAGCAACCCGAUUUUAAAAAUGGGCAGUGGACCUGAAUAGACAUUUUUCCAAAGAAGACUACAGACGGCCAGCAGACACAGGAAAGAUGCUCAAUAUCACUAAUCAUCAGGGAAAUCCAAACUCGAAUCAAUAUCCCCUCACACCUGUCGAAUGUCCAUCACCAAAAAAAACAAGUGGUAGGAGUUCCUGUCGUGGCGCAGAGGAAACGAAUCCGACUAGGAACCAUGAAGUUGCGGGUUCGAUCCCUGGCCUCACUCAGUGGGUCAAGGAUCCGAUGUUGCCGUGAGCUGUGUGUAGGUCGCAGACGCAGCUUGCAUCUGGUGUUGCUGUGGCGUAGGCUGGCAGCUACAGCUCCAAUUCGACCCAUAGCCUGGGAACCUCCAUGUGCGGCGGGUGCGGCCCUAAAAGACAAAAGACAAACAAACAAACAAAAAAGCAAGCCAUAACAAGCUGUUGGAAAGGCUGCUGAAAAAAGGGAACUCGUAUGCACUUUUAGUGGGAUGUAAGUUGGUGCAGUCUGAUGGAAAUAUUAAAGAGCCUCCUCAAAAAUAACUCCCCACUUCCUUCCUCCUUCAGGCUGAGCCACCUGGUCCAGAGGGUCCCCUCCUCCCUGAAAGCCCCCCACUAACAGGAGGCCCGGUGCUGCUUUAGGGCAAAUGAUAUCACUGUGGACGUGCCACGCCCCUCGCGAUAGGGCCAGCCCCCCUCAUCACCGUCUGCUGUGCCCCCGCCUCCCGGUCCAUCCUCCCCGGCCCUUCCCCAAUCCCGUCAUGGCAGGUGCCUUGGCCUUGCAAGCUGUGAACUGACGAACUGCUGGGAGACUCUCUCCCCCACCAGACGAGCAGGGGAGGGGCAGGGCAGCUCGGAGGGCCCCCAGUGCCCCCUCCUGCAGCUGGGACUCUUGGUUGUUUAAGAAGAAAGUGCAAAUGAGCCUCAGGGGCGCUGCUAGUACUGCCAUCAGAGGAGCUGGACUUGCAGGCAGCACACCUGGCCUGUCCGAGGCCGCUGGGAGGUCCCUCAGAGCCAGGGUACAGGAAAGAGCUCUGUCACCUGUUAGGCACUAAGUAAGUGCCAGGCGUUAGAGCCCAGAAAGGAGCAGGGGCCAAGGAGCACGUCUAGACGUCUAGACAUUCUGAGCCAGGAGUUCUUGUCGGCUCUCCUUGCUGCUGAAUCCCCAGCACCGGGAGCCACAGCUGGCUGGACACACAGCCGGCCCUCCGUAAACAUUUUUUAAUGAAAGAACAAUGAAUAUGCACUGUCGGCAGGUCUUUGGCAGUUUCUCCAUGCUCUCUUUUCAUCCAUAGCAUUUCAGACUCAUCUCCCAAGACAGCAGGUGCUGUGUGACGGGGAAGAGGCAAUGGCUUGUUUCUUCCUGUGUGAAUUUGGGCCCGUUCUUCAUCACUCUGGGGCCUCAGUUUCCACAUCUAGCAAGUGGGAUAAUAGUGUGAUCCAGGAGUUCCCAUUGUGGCUCAGCGGACACAAAACCGACUAGUAUCCCUGACCUCGCACCAGUGGGUUAAGGAUCCAGCGUUGCCGUGGAGCUGUGGUGUAGGUCACAGAUGCCGCUCGGAUCUGGAGUGGCUAUGGCUGUGGUGUAAGCCAGUGGCUACGCUCUGAUUCAGCCCCUAGCCUUGGGACCUCCCUAUGCUGCAGGCGCAGCCCUAAAAGCAAAAAUGAUAAUAAUAAUGUGAUCCAGAUCUUCAUCUCAGAAUAGUGUGACGGCAAAUGCGAUUACCUAGGUUUUACAGCUCUCUGUGUAUGUGGUGCUUUUUAACUGGACCGUGUUGGGCUACAGCCACCCGACGGUGACCCUUAAAGGACCCCGCAGACCUCAUCUGCGUUCCAAUGGCAGUCAGUCUUCCAAGAUGAAAAACAUCUUUUUUUAUUAGUCGAUUGUGUGGAUGGAAAUUUGGUUAGAAAUUGAAUUCCUGAUCUGCGUCCAGUCUUUCCUAAUGAUCCAUAUAGGAAAGGGAGUACUCCCUCACAGGAUCAGUUUACAAUUUAAGAAACCAUAACUCACGGUUCAUCUAACAAACAAGCCUGUUCUGACUCAGCCUGCUCAGUCAGCCUGCUCUUUGGGACUACAGGGAGCUCCUAAACAGAUACAAGAAUUCUGAUUUCUCACCAAAAUGUCUUUUCUGAAAGGCAGUGCUGAGCCCCAACACGCAGGCUGGCUUGGACACAAUCCUUAGGGGUCAAGGCUGCUUGCAGAGAUUGCCUCCCUAGAAUGCAUAUGAGAUUUUCCAAUGAACCCCGCGCGCCCCUACCCUUUUCUGUGGCUGGGCCAGGCCCUGAAAAUAGCUUCUUUGACGGGGAAACACAAGGUGUUUUUUUCACUGGAUGGAUGAA
rnacentral:lncRNA from 9 species